CCAGGCUCGAACGGCAGAUGACACCCUACGAAAGUAGGCUCCCGCAAGGGCAUCUGUCGAGGUGCUGCAUGGCUGUCGUCAGCUCGUGUCGUGAGAUGUUGGGUUAAGUCCCGCAACGAGCGCAACCCUUGUCUUCUGUUGCCAUCGGGUUAUGCCGGGCACUCUGAAGAGACUGCCGGUGACAAACCGGAGGAAGGUGGGGAUGACGUCAAGUCAGCAUGGCCUUUAUGUCUGGGGCCACACACGUGCUACAAUGGCAGGUACAAACCGUCGCGAGACCGCAAGGUGGAGCUAAUCGGAGAAAGCCUGUCUCAGUUCGGAUCGUAGGCUGCAACUCGCCUGCGUGAAGUUGGAAUCGCUAGUAAUCGCGGAUCAGCACGCCGCGGUGGAUACGUUCCC
rnacentral:rRNA from 1 species